rnacentral:lncRNA from 1 species
GAGAGUUUAUUGUCUCCAAGAGGGUGAAGGUCGUGGUCCCAAUGCACAGGUGGGGGCACCCACAGUGUUAUCCUUCCUGGGUUUCCCUUGGGCAGAGGGGGCUGGAAAUGGGAAGGCAGAGUGGGAGCCCCAGCUGUGGCCGCACCCAGGUUCUUCUGCCCCUCGAAGGGUCCUGGACAGCAUUCAGGGCAAGGGGCCUCAUGCAAGGGGCCAUCGCCCACCAGAGACACUGUCUUUCCCACCACCAACACCAGAGGCACCGUCCUUCCCCAUCACCCAACACCGGAGGCACCAUCCUUCCCCAUUGCCCAUCAGAGGCACCAUCCUUCCCAUCACCCACACUGGAGGCACCAUUCUUCCCGUCACCCACACCGGAGGUACCGUCCUUCCCAUCACCCACACCGGAGGCACCGUCCUUCUCAUCACCCACACCAGAGGCACCGUCCUUCCCAUCACCCACACCAGAGGCACCGUCCUUCCCAUCACCCACAUCAGAGGCAC